rnacentral:lncRNA from 1 species
UUCUACGUCUGAUAAAUUAUGUUUGGUUGAUGGUGGAAAGUUGGGCGAGUAUAGUUGCAGUUUGUGGAUGAUGGUGGAGUCUUAUUUAAUUUUGGGGUUUAGGGUUUGGUGGUUGAGCGAAAUGUUGUCUGAAGUUUAGAUGAUUAUAUUGCACACACUGUUUGCGGAUUACGAAAAUUUCAUAAAUGUCCUUUAUUUUUAAGACACCUUCUUAGGAUUUUUAGUAUCAUUCUUAAUCUUCUUUUCUUUUAGGUCACCGAUUAAUUCAAGUGUGAUGAAAUUUUAAAGAAUAAUAUCUUUUUUUGUUACGAGUUUUUAAAUAGUUUAGAUGAUUAUAUUGCACACACUGUUUGCGGAUUACGAAAAUUUCAUAAAUGUCCUUUAUUUUUAAGACACCUUCUUAGGAUUUUUAGUAUCAUUCUUAAUCUUCUUUUCUUUUAGGUCACCGAUUAAUUCAAGUGUGAUGAAAUUUUAAAGAAUAAUAUCUUUUUUUGUUACGAGUUUUUAAAUAGUAAGGUACGUUCGGAAGUUCUAACUGCAACUCAC